CUUAAUUCUCUUUCCUGGCUGGCUCACUCUGUGUGUGCAACUGCAAACCAGAGGGAACAGAAAUGCUGUGAUUUGCAUGGACUGGUCCUCCCAGAAGCUGAAAACAAAAAUGCAGAGCAGUUUUUGAUGGACACAAAAAGAAUGAAAUCCUAAUGAGGGUAGUGAAGAAUUAUAACUGCAAAGAAUGAAGAGACAAAGAUUAAAAGUGGAAAAGAAUAUACAUAUUUUUAAAUAAAAUCUUCUGGACUACUGACAUCUUUGUAAUUAUGUGUUGGGACAGUGUUUCCUAUUAUUUUAGAAUUUCUUCAGUCAUUUGGGGACAAGAGCAAAGCCAAACAAGGGAGCAGGUGUCGAGCUUUUGUUGAUUUUUUUCACUUGGAAAGGGUGUAUAUUUUGAAGUAAUGACUGGUCAAAGAGGAGUAUCAGUGCAUUUCAAGGAGCAAAGUGUGAGAGAUUUUCAGCUUGAUCUCAGAAAAUUGAUGUAGUCCACAUUGCAUACUGCACUGCACCUCCAGUUUGGACAGGAGAGGAGCUGUGUUAGCAAAUGCUCAACCAAAUGUAAAAACAUUGCUAAAGUAAUGGACUCCAACAAAGAUCCAAUUUCACUUUAGGGAUGCUUGAAGGCUUUCACUGUCCUCAGGGCAUCACUGCAGCCAAGGACCAGCAUGGAGAGGAGACCCUGGGCCAGCUUCCUGAGGUCAAACGAUGCAAAAAUCAACAGAAACCACUUCAUCAGGAGAGACAAGCUAAGAAAGGGACUUGGUACCUGAAAACAGUAGUGCCCUAUAUCAACCAGUCCACCAUGUACCUCCUAAAUCUUUCGCUCAAUAGCAAGAAGUCAAAAAUAAAUAAGCAAGGAGCGUAGUCUGUGUACACUAGUGAGCUUAGCAGUUGAAAUCACUUCAUAGGGGAGCAUAAAUCCAAUAGCUAGAUAUGUUUAAAAGAGUAAAAAAAGUAAGGUCCAUUUGAAAUAGCACUGUGUGCCGAUACCAGUGACUAUGUAUCUGUCAGAAAUAGCUUUUGAACACCAUAAAUCAAUCCUUGCUAGAAGGAGAGGAGGUUUGGUCAAAGGAUAUGAAGGUGCAAUAACUCAUAAAGUCGCCUGCCUUGCAUGCAUGGGUAGGACACUUCUAGAAAAAUAUCAAGAUAAUGGAGUUAUUAUCUAGGUUUUUGUGGUGAAGAAGGGAUCUUAAAGAACUUUUUCUGCUCUCCAGGAAGCAAUAAAAGAGAGAUCUUGCAGCUAGUGCUGCUAAAGACGUAUGUUGGUUUUCAAUGCUACAGUCGAUGCUUUCAAGUGAGUUUAAUUGCAAUAGAGUGGGAAGUUAGCUCUCCCCUCACUGCCAUCUCUGCUCCACCCAGGAAAUGUGAAUAAACAGCAAAGAAUGUGAUUUUCACCACCCUACUCUUGUAGUGUGUGCCAGUACUGUUUCUUGGCACCAAAGGUAUUAACCGCCAUGUAAUUCAUCUCUGUCACUUGAUGAGUAGCAGAAUGCAUUGGAAGCUGUGGUUGCAAAGCCCGAGGUGAGGACACCGUGCAGGAGACUGUCAAGUCUAGAAUUUGGACUGAAACAUUUCCAAAAAAAGCACCACUUGAAGCAAUGCAACAGGAUGCAAUAAAUCAGUUGGCUUUUCCACCGUGUAGUAAAAACUGAAAUCUUCACCAUGUAAAUCCAGGCUUUAGUGCAGAAGAAUGGUACAUUUCUGAAAACAGCUCUUAUUCGCAUUCUGAUUCAGAGAUGAAUUAAAGUGAUCACAUUUAGGUGACUUACAUUUGGCCAGUAUGAAAUAAGUUUUUUUGGAGAUAGAUACAUUUCUUAUAGAAAGAGGAAAGUUAUUGAAUUCUCAUUGUACAGGAAAUACUAUUGAUCCUUGUGAGCACUCUGAGAGAAAUGUCAUGAACUGAGAGGGCCCUCGAGACUGUAUUUACUCUGACCAAUCUGCAGGAGUCGUUCAUUGAGGGAUAGGGAGAAAAUUGAUCUUCAGAAAAGCGAUUGGAGCUGCAGGUUUCCUGCUGUGGGAGAACCCAGGCUACCUGGGAUGUGUUCAGACCACAACAACUCCGUGUCCUUCUUGUGCUGGGGGCCCCAGAACUGGAUGCAGUAGUCCACGUGGGAUCUCACGAGAGGAGAAUAGAGGGGCAGAAUCACCUCCCUCAACCUCCUGGUCACGUUUCUCUUGAUGCAAUACAGGAUAUGGUUGUCCUUCUGAGCUGCAAGCACACGCUGCUGGAUCAUGCUGAAUCUUUCAUCAAGUGACAUUCCCAGAUCCUUCUCCUCAGGGCUUCUCUCAAGCCAUUCUCUGCCCAACCUCUGUCUGUGCUUGGGAUUGCCCCAACCUGGGUCAAUUUCAAACGUCAAGUCAAUUUCAAAGAUGAAGUUUUACCAUUGUCUUACUAUUUGCUAGCAAGAGUGUAUUUGUUUUUUUAGCAGUAGCUUCAGUUCACUCAGUGACUGCUCUGAGCCAUCAGUGGCAUCAGGCAUGCCUCUCUCAAGCAUGAAAACAGCCUCUUGGAACACAUGAAAUGUGAGGCCGUUUCCUUGUGAGUUAGAAAUAGCAGUAAGAGGAGGCAUCUUUGUUCUGUUGUGCUUUACUUCUUGUUUGAGAUUUUCGAGGGUUUUGUUUGUUUGUUGUUUUCCUAAUUCUGUUUUACUUCUCCUUGUCGCAUUAGUGUUCUUUGAGGUUGGUUAGGUGUUUUUUGUUUUGGUUUGGUUUGGUUUGGUUUUUUUUGCUGUUUUGUUUUGUUUUCCAACCACAAUGCUGAGGAGAAUCAUUCAGCCUCCAGCUAUUUUUUAUGAAAACUUCUGAAGAAGACAUCUAGCAUGUGUCCCUUAACUGCUCUUGUUCAUUGCUGGCAAAUGCAUAGCUAAUGGUGGUGAUUACAUUGAAAAUCAGUGUUCUGUAGCUGAGAAUUUGCUCUAUGAAAUAGUUUUAUUACUCUCUUUGUAUCUGUUGUCAUUUCCAUGGAAAUAAAUAGGAGGCAUUACUUUCAGAGUGACCUGCAUAUGUGAAUGGAGAAUAGAUACAUUUUCACUAAAUAUUCCAAAGCCAUCUCUGUGCAAUACCCCUGAUGUCUGUGCUGUCUUGAAAAGGUUGACCUUGUUGAUAUUCAAGAAGAUGAGUGUUAAAUGGCUUCAGUGUGAGGUUCUGUUGAAAUGAUAGAGAGAGUAGAUACCACUUCUCCAGAAAUUAUUAGACUGCAUCUGUUAAACAACAGAAGAAUUUGGCAAAAUAGAGCAUGUAAGCUGAGAAUAAGGGAACUUAGGUUUGUCAGCUGUAAUUAUGUUUAUGGAAGUUUCUUGUACUGUAUGUUCAUAGCUUCUUACACUCUGUACCAGAAGUCAUCAGUACCCAAUUGCGUAUCUGGCUCUUGCUGUCUUGUGAAAGACAUUCCCUUUUUGUGGAGACCUAUAGACCCUCUUCUUCCUAAGGAAUGGUUGCAUGUCCUAUUUUGGCAACCGCAUGAAAGGAGAGAUGUUGAAAUAAAACAUAAUUAGUAAUGAUUCUCCAGUAUCACCUGAUUACACCAGUAAUAAAAAUGUAUUUGGGUAAAAUUAGUAAAUUAAUGCAGAUUGAAAUAAUUGUCAGUAUAAAUGAUUUGGUUUGAGCUUUGCUAAACAAAUUGUGUGUUUUAACAGACAAACACUUAUGGUUUAGUGCAAAAAGGAUUUUAAAAGUCAUUUUCCAUGCAUAGUCCCUAUAUAUCAGGGAGGAGAAAUAAGGGAAAAGACUCUUCAAGGCACCAAAUAUUUUUGUAUACAAAAGUAGAUUUCAUCUCAUAAAAUAAUUUUUGAAGAGAAAAACACUCCUCCCUCUUGCCCUGACCUCAGAUGGAAAGGAGAAGAGGCACCUAUUGUGGUACAAUGUUGCUUGGGAAAACAUUGUGGCUGUCUGUUUUGAAGGAAAUGAAAAACCAUUAAAAGGAUAAUAGAAUAAAAGUGCAAUGAGAUGUUCGAAGGAUCCAUCAAUAAAAGGAUGGCAAGCAAUCGCUAAAGACAGCCCUUUCUAAAUGUAGUUUUAUUGCCAGAGGAUGGAAAAUUGAGAGAGAAUUUGCGAACAAUUGAAUUUAUGGUAAUGGCAUAUAAGCAUAUUGUACCACCAAAGCAAAGCACAGAGAGAGUAUAAAACACAAAAUACACCUAUGUCCCAUGGAAACGCUCGUGUUCUGCCUAUUAUCUCCUGGUAUUGCAAAAUGUAAUAUCCAGAUAUUAAAAUCAAAUAUAUUGUGAAAUGCAUUAGCAGUCGUUGACACGGAUGACAUUCUGCUCUGUGCCUGCUUUAAGGUGAAUUGCUGGACCAAAAGUAAUGCCAGAGGUGAGUGCAAAGGAGCUUGCUCCUGUGUGCUCAGGGCAACGUUGUUUCUUGGCUUCGGUGACAUCUGGGCAUCCCUGUGCUGGCUUAUGGGCAAAUCACCUGGGGAUAAUUUGAGUCAAUUUGGAUUUUAAGCCUUUUUAAAAUGCGCUGUUGCUCGGUCUGUACAGCCGGCAGAGGUGGCUGCUAAACAACAGGCAGGAAGAAAAUAAUUAACUGAUGGGCUGGGAGAUGGAGCCUGCCAGUAACCAGAUAAACCGGAAAGGAGAAGAACAACUUCUGCCACAGGACAGGCACAAAUAUCUGCUCUGUACGAAGCCACAGAGAAAGGCUGAUAGCGUGAAAAACCUGUGGCUGAAAAACCACAGGCGUCAGGGAACUAACUGUAUGCUUACAGUCAGCCUGCACUCGACCAGAAGGGCAGCCUUCAGGGAGGGAUGGGGAAGGCUUUCCUGUAAGACGCUUCGAUUUUCUUGCAUCUGUGGAGAAACUGCUGGCCUGCUUUCAAAGAGGAUAUCUGUGGGUGGUUUGGGUUUAGUUUUUACACCAUCUCCCUGCUUCACGGUACCAGCAGCCUGCUGUAGCACUGUGCCUCCCCUAGGGGCUGCAGGGUGGUGAGGUGUUGUUUCUGAUGCCCCAUCCCCACUGCUGCCCUCUCCCAUUGCUCUCGCUGCAGUGCUGCUGCCUGCAACAGGGGGACAACACAGCUGCAAAAACAAUUGGGGAUUACUUUCUAGUGUUGUUUAGCUUUUUAAAGUGUAGUCCUUCCUACCACCAAGGAGAGCCUGCAAGCAAGUACUGGUGGGAUUAGAGAGCAUUGGGUUCUAGUGUUGGGUUCGAGUGUAGGCAGACAUGAGGUUAGAGAGUGUUGGCAGAUCUCGGAAUGUACCACCAACACACAGAAAUGGCAGAGCCAGCUUAUGACCCUGCUAAGACAAGUGGACAAGCCACCGACAGUUAAAAUACCACUAAGCCAAGACUCUGUUUUAAAGAUAAAGACUUCAGUGUUAACUUCUUUGUCAGCAGCACAGCAUUGUCUCUUUCCCUAAAAAUCUAAUUAGCAUGUAUCACAGUGUUGUUAUUAUUAAUGACUCUACCCCUCCUGAAAUAUAACAUUUCUGAUUUACAAUGUUUUGUUUGUUUCGCAUUGUUUCACCUGAAAUACGGUGACUGCUAAAUCUCUGGUAAGCCCUUAAAUGAGGGAGGAACAGCAAAAUGAGCUCUGCCGAAGGAUUUUAACCUAUCAUUCCAAGAGCAUAGUUAUCUUGGCAGCAAACAAGGAUUUAAGUACCUUUGAGAAAUUUGACUUUAAUUGUGGAGGAAUGGCAUCAUCAGCUGCAAAAAGUUAAACCCCUCAAAAGCACUCUACUUUUUCAUUAGCAACUAUUUAGGUGAUAAUUAGCAGGAGGAGGACUGGAGGGAUGUCAAAGCAUGUGCAGAAUCACCUGGCCUUGGGAGGGUCAUAGGGCCUUUCAGAGAGUUCAUUUUGAGUUCCUGGAGGUCUACAGCAUGGAAACGUGAUGCUGUGGGCAGUCUGUAGCUUAGCUGAGAGGAGAAAAGUUAAAACCUGGCUCUGAAGAUAAAGCUGGGGAGCAAUUUGUGAGUAUAUUAAGAGCUAGAAUGGAAGUUGGUCGUGUCCUUUCACAGGGCAUGAUUCUUGGGGUUAUGUUAUUUCCCUCGCUAUCACAGUAGGCAUCCUAAGAGUUUGAUGUGCUGUUGUCUCAUGAGCAGCCCUGUAAGUGUAACAUAAAGCAUGGGGAGCUGGAGGAGGUAUUUUGAUAUUAGUUCAAGAUCUGCACCCUCUUUUCCCACACAACCAGAGCUCUUGUGAUAAAAGAUGUAUACAUACAGAAACAACAAUUAUUUUCUAGAUAAUUUCUUAUAAUAUGAAAAAAUGUGGAUAGUACUGACUACAUGUUCUGCAAGGAGCUAUGGUGGAAACCAUCAUGGAUUAAAUGCUCCCAUCUGUGGUACCUAGCUACUUGUGAAUGUUUCAGACCUUGUUUGUUAGGAAGCUGGACUUUCCAAGCACUGAUAUGCAUCCGUGGCUGCUGCUUUCUCCUCAGGAGCUGCCCCUCCCACUGGUCACUACAGCAUGGUGGUGGUUUGAUGUGUCCUUCCAAGGCUGGCCACUGUCAAUCACCAGCUUUGUGAUAAUGAGCGCUCAGCUGGCUGUCCUUGUUCUUCCCACCUCCUCCCAUUCUCCAGUCAGAAAUCCUGAUUUACUAAGCUGUCUUCAAGCACAAAUCUGAUUCAGUACUGUAUUUGUCAAUCCCAACUCCCUUCAUUCAAGCAGAAUGGCUGAAAAGCAGCAAACACAACUCUGCACCUGAUAGGGUCCAGCACUGUGGAAAUCAGUAUCUGAAGACUGGAGUCAGGCUCUCCUUCUAUACAAUUUAAAUAAGUUCUUUACAGAGGGAACUAUGCAUUUCCUUGUCAAUCACUGCCUUCUGCCAAGUACUCAGCUUUCAUUCUCUUCACCAUUAGCCCUGUCUUCAAUUUAUUCUGUAUAAAUUGAGAUGCUGUAAUUGGGCUUCUCUGGGUCUGCACAGCCUGUCUUCAAGUACCCCAAGUGUCUUUUCCAGUCUUCAAUUACUCCUCUGAUAGACUACAGGCAUCCUGCCUUUUAGUUUAUUAGGCAGCUUCUUAUCUCAAUUGUAGUCUUAAAAAACUCCAUCAUUUCAGUUGCACAGCUCUAAUAAUUAGUUUCUGCUUUUCUGGUCUGGAUAGUGCUACUUUAGCUUUUAUAAAGAAAAUGGGAGAAAGAGCUGUAUGGCAGAAACCAUUACCUCUGGUAGCGCUCAGCCAUGUAGAGUGAGCACUCCAGUCAUAUGCAUCAGAUUCUGAAUCCUGUAAAGCUGUGGUGAUGAGCAGACAAACAACAACAACAAAAAGGUGCUAACAGGGGAUGAAAAGAUGAAUGAGGUGAGAUAGAUUACCUUUUCACAAAAAAUGCUCAUUGUAUCUUUCCAUUGCCAAUCUGUAGCAAUUAUAUUUUCAUUGGGAAGAUGAGCUUGAUCUGGGUUUAGAGAUGCACGUAUGAAUCUUAAUCAUGUAGCAAUAUAUGUAGAACAGGCUGCCAAAGUACAAAUAUUCUGAUUUUCACCUGCAAUAAUACCUGAAGUUAGAAUAAGAUUCAGCACUUCUAAAUGUUAUUUAACCUCCGGAAGAAGGAAGCCUGAUUUGAAUGCAUUGAGAUGCUAUGAACUAGAGGUGUUUUAAUCAGGUAUUCCCACCAGUGGGAAUCCAUAACUGCAACAAAUAUUCCUCCAGACGAAUGAACACAAGGAUCACUUUUGGCCUUCAGCUGCCCCUACUCCUGACCAGCCACGUGACGCACUGCUGGGUCUUGCAGACAAGCCAUCUUCUGUGCCUAGAGAGAGUAUUGGGGUAUCUCCAUCCACUUCCAUCAUUUGUCAGGCUGCACCAAGCUCAUCGCCACCAGAGCUGGUCCAUCUUCUGACCAUUCACAGGCAAGCAAUUUGGAGCUCUUUUUUCUGGAGGCCAGCAAACAUGUGAUACCUCAUAUGAUGUGGAGCUCUAUGGGCACUACAGGAGCCUGACAAAAGGUUAAGUAAGACCCUUGCCGGGCAUUAUUUUAAUUACUCACAGGUACAGUGCAAGGUGGUGCCUGCCAAGGCUACUGCUCAUUUGGCUGUGCUUCAAUGUUGUUCAGGCAGGAGGAAGUUUUAAUAAAUUAUCAUCAAGCAGGGAACGUGGCUAUAAUACUGUGCCAUAGAAUGGAGAGUUUUACAGCUAUUUUCAGUCUUUCUGGGUCAUAUCUCAGCUUCCUUCCUUUGAACUCUUGUAAGGGAAUUCAGUCUAUGUACAACAUUAAGGGUUUUUUUUCCCCUUUGGCGGAGCCCUGAAUACCUUCAUUUUUCAAAUAGAGAGGCUGAUCCCAUAACUCAGAUGAGUUAGCUGCCUUAUGGGCAUGACACAUAAAGGCAGGAGAAACUGGCCUUUAUGUGCAGGGUCUGCGACCCAAAAAGCGUGACUCGCAUACUUAGUUUCCAUCCUCUUGACAAGUAGCCAGUUUCUGCAGUAAGAUGAAAUACAUCUCCUCUACACAUAGCUGCUACCAUUUUAAGGUUAAAUCUUGACAAACUCUGGAAGGCAGCAGGGAAAGUUCAGCUGUUAAAAAUGCAAUGGGGUUUUAUGGAAAGGCUUUCUGAGGAUGAUGAGCAUAUUGGCAGGAAAAACUAUCAGCGAUUUCAGUACAAGUUUUUUGGUGCCUGCAUUCCAGCUGUAAAAAAAUACACGUGCACCUGAAAGCUUUUUUCAGGACCAGAAAGCUAUACACAUAAAACUAGCUGAGAGUUACGUGGUUGCAACUGAAAGCAUUCAGGCACAAAAUGUUUCCUUUGACCAGUUCUUUGUGCAAAUGGCAGGGAUGGUGAGUGCUUGUGGAACUUGCUUGUUUGAGAGACUGUUGGUGAAAUACAGUACUAGAGAUGCCAUACCCUACGUUUUUUCCUACUUCAAAGCAGGGACAUUAGUGGAGAUGUGCAAACUGGAUCCUGUAUCUAACACGUUCAUGUGGUUGCAGUUUGUCCCUGGCACCCAGCAAGCAGAGCAGUGGCCACACUCCUUUACCUAUCUCUGGAUUUUA
rnacentral:lncRNA from 1 species